rnacentral:snRNA from 1 species
AUACUUACCUGGCAGGGGAGAUACCAUGAUCACGAAGGUGACUUUCCCUGGACGAGGCUUAUCCAUUGCACUCUGGAUGUGUUGACCCCUGCAAGUUCCCCAAAUAUGGGAAACUCGACUGCAUAAUUUGUGGUAGUGGGGGACAGUGUUCGCAAUUUCCCCUG